rnacentral:tRNA from 1 species
GGGUCGUUAGCUCAGUUGGUAGAGCAGUUGGCUUUUAACCAAUUGGUCGUAGGUUCGAAUCCUACACCACCCACCA